rnacentral:rRNA from 1 species
CCUACGGGGGGCAGCAGUAGGGAAUAUUGCUCAAUGGGGGAAACCCUGAAGCAGCAACGCCGCGUGGAGGAUGAAGGUUUUCGGAUUGUAAACUCCUUUUGUUAGAGAAGAUAAUGACGGUAUCUAACGAAUAAGCACCGGCGAACUCCGUGCCAGCAGCCGCGGUAAUACGGAGGGUGCAAGCGUUACUCGGAAUCACUGGGCGUAAAGAGCGCGUAGGCGGGAUAGCAAGUCAGAUGUGAAAUCCUAGGGCUUAACCAUAGAACUGCAUUUGAAACUGUUAUUCUAGAGUAUGGGAGAGGUAGGUGGAAUUCUUGGUGUAGGGGUAAAAUCCGUAGAGAUCAAGAGGAAUACUCAUUGCGAAGGCGACCUGCUAGAACAUAACUGACGCUGAUGCGCGAAAGCGUGGGGAGCAAACAGGAUUAGAUACCCGUGUAGUC